rnacentral:rRNA from 1 species
UAUGGAGGAUGCGAGCGUUAUCCGGAUUUAUUGGGUUUAAAGGGUGCGUAGGCGGAUCGUUAAGUCAGUGGUCAAAUUGAGGGGCUCAACCCCUUCCCGCCAUUGAAACUGGCGAUCUUGAGUGGAAGAGAAGUAUGCGGAAUGCGUGGUGUAGCGGUGAAAUGCAUAGAUAUCACGCAGAACUCCGAUUGCGAAGGCAGCAUGCCGGCUUCCGACUGACGCUGAAGCACGAAAGCGUGGGGAUCGAACAGG